AUUGAACGCUGGCGGCAGGCCUAACACAUGCAAGUCGAGCGGCAGCGGAAAGUAGCUUGCUACUUUGCCGGCGAGCGGCGGACGGGUGAGUAAUGUCUGGGAAACUGCCUGAUGGAGGGGGAUAACUACUGGAAACGGUAGCUAAUACCGCAUAACGUCGCAAGACCAAAGAGGGGGACCUUCGGGCCUCUUGCCAUCAGAUGUGCCCAGAUGGGAUUAGCUAGUAGGUGGGGUAAUGGCUCACCUAGGCGACGAUCCCUAGCUGGUCUGAGAGGAUGACCAGCCACACUGGAACUGAGACACGGUCCAGACUCCUACGGGAGGCAGCAGUGGGGAAUAUUGCACAAUGGGCGCAAGCCUGAUGCAGCCAUGCCGCGUGUAUGAAGAAGGCCUUCGGGUUGUAAAGUACUUUCAGCGGGGAGGAAGGUGUUGAGGUUAAUAACCUCAGCAAUUGACGUUACCCGCAGAAGAAGCACCGGCUAACUCCGUGCCAGCCGCCGCGUAAUAC
rnacentral:rRNA from 1 species